ACUCUCAAGAGCCUCGUGACAUAUCUCUGCAUUCAUCAUCUAGGAGAUGUGACUCCUCCCUGCUGCCUGCGCUCUGCCUACAGGGAAGACCAUAACAACAUUUGGCCCAGCAACACGGUGAUGUGUUUUUUCCCAGGGCCUUGCUCACAGGGAGCAUUGUGACAUAUCACUGGAACCAGCAUCCAGGGCUGUGACUCUGUGUCCUGCUGUUAGAACAGGAUUGUAACAUAUCACUGACCAAGCACCCAGGUGAUGUGACUCUUCUGCCUGGUGCCUGCCUUCAGGGAAAAUUGUGACAUAUGCCUGGCCUAGCACCAAAGUGAUGUGGCUCUCCUGCUACCUCUAUGCACAGGACUGCCUGCAGGGGAUAUGGUGACAUUUUACUUUGCCCAGCACCAAGAUGACUUGAAUCUGCUGCCUUUGUUCUACUUUCAGAAGACAUUGUGACAUAUCGCUGGGCCUAGCACCAAGGUGAUGUGAAUCUUCUGCCUGGACCUGCUCACAGAGGGAAUUGUUACAUAUUUUUGACUUCAUCAACUAUUUGAUGUGACUCUCCUCUCUAACCUGGGCCUUGCCCAUAAAAAACAUUGUGGCUUAUCUCUGGGCCCAAAACCUAGGUGAUGUGACUGUCUUCUUAGGGUCAUGCCCACAGUAGAGAGAUGCCUUAUUGCUAAACCCAGCACACAGGUGAGGUGAUUCUUCUGUCUGGUCCCUGCCCACAGGGGUCAUGAUGACAUCUCUCUAAGCCCAUCACCUAGAUUAUGUGAGUUCUCUUUUUCUUCUGUUAGCUAUAUAGAAGAUUGUGACAUAUUGCUUGGCCCAGACCUCAUGUGAUGUGAAUCUCCUCUCAUGCCUUGGUCCUGUUUUUUUUUGGCCGUUGUUGUUUUGUUUUGUUUUUUGAGAUGGAGUCUUGCUCUGUUGCCUAAGCUGGAGUGCAGUGGCAUAAUCUAGGCUCACUGCAACCUCUGCCUCCUGGGUUCAAGUUAUUCUCCUGCCUCAGCCCCUGAAUAGCUAGGAUUAAAGGUGAGUGCCACCACACUCAGCUAAUUUUUGUAUUUUUAGUAGAGAUGGGGUUUCACCAUGUUGAUUAGGCUGGUAUUGAACUCCUGACUUCGUGAUCAACUCGCCUCUGCCUCCCAAACUUUUGGGAUUACAGGCAUGAGCCACCAUGCCCAGUCAAGAUGAUGAUACAUUUCUAAACCCAGGUUAUAGGCAGGUGAGGGUUCUUCUACCUAUACACACGUUUAAAGGGAUGUUGAAUCUCACACGUGGUCUCAGGGCCACAGGUACAAGCAUGGGUCUUCACCAGCAUGAAUAUCUCAGAGCAUACUGCGACUCUCCAGUGUAAUGUAUAAAGCUCUCAGGUGGGACAGUGUCCUAACAGGAUCCAGAACACAGAAAAGAUGUUGAUGCUCCUAUGCACACCCAGGUCACAGUAAAAUAUGUCAUUUUCCCACAUAAUCAUAGCCCAAUGUUGAGAUUCUGCAUCUCACACCUGAAAGAAGUUGAAAGAUGGAAAAUUGACUCUCUUAUAUAGAUCUGGUCUACAGGUAGGUUGGUGACAUUCAGAUCAAAAUUAAGUACACUUGUGAGGCUAUAACUCUUCUAAGAAGACACAGCUCACAGGAGCAACUGAUGCUCCUAUGAACAAAUCCAGUCCGUGAUUGAGAUUCUAACUCAUGUACUUAUUGUCAGGCCUCUGAGCCCAAGCUAAGCCAUCAUAUCCCCUGUGACCUGCACGUAUACAUCCAGAUGGCCUGAAGCAACCGAAUAUCCACAAAGGAAGUGAAAAUAGCCGUAACUGAUGACAUUCCACCAUUGUGAUUUGUUCCUGCCCCACCCUAACUGAUACGAUAUAUUCUCCCUCUGCCCUGAAGAAGGUACUUUGUAAUAGUCUCCCCCCACCUUAAAAAGGUACUUUGUAAUAUUCUCCCCACCCGUGAGAAUGUACUUUGUACACCUAUCCCAAACCUAUAAGAACUAAUGAUAAUCCCACCACGCUUUGCUGACUCCUUUUUUGGACUCAGCCCACCUGCACCCAGGUGAAAUAAACAGCCUUGUUGCUCAC
rnacentral:lncRNA from 1 species